rnacentral:tRNA from 1 species
GCAUGUAUGGCUGAGUGGUCGAAAGCAAUGGACUCAUAAUCCAUUUCCUCACGGACAACGCAGGUUCAAACCCUGCUACAUGUA